rnacentral:rRNA from 1 species
CUACGCACUCCUACGGGAGGCAGCAGUGGGGAAGUAUUGCACAAUGGGCGCAAGCCUGAUGCAGCCAUGCCGCGUGUAUGAAGAAGGCCUUCGGGUUGUAAAGUACUUUCAGCAGUGAGGAAGGUGGGUAUGUUAAUAGCAUAUUCAUUUGACGUUAGCUGCAGAAGAAGCACCGGCUAACUCCGUGCCAGCAGCCGCGGUAAUACGGAGGGUGCGAGCGUUAAUCGGAAUUACUGGGCGUAAAGCGCAUGCAGGUGGUUUGUUAAGUCAGAUGUGAAAGCCCGGGGCUCAACCUCGGAAUUGCAUUUGAAACUGGCAAACUAGAGUACUGUAGAGGGGGUAGAAUUUCAGGUGUAGCGGUGAAAUGCGUAGAGAUCUGAAGGAAUACCGGUGGCGAAGGCGGCCCCCUGGACAGAUACUGACACUCAGAUGCGAAAGCGUGGGGAGCAAACAGGAUUAGAUACCCUGGUAG